UCGACAAUACCUGAUCCGAACCCGACCCGAAGACCCGGAUGCCCAGGCCUAGUUUGCCUUUCUAGAGAAUUCAAUCUUCUCAGCUGUAGUAGAGAUGGCGGGUCGGGGUAAACAACUCGGAUCUGGCGCGGCGAAGAAUCCCCGUUGGUCGUAUCGCCCGAUUCCUCAAGGCCGGAAAGUACGCCGAGCGCGUUGGAGCAGGAGCUCCGGUUUAUCUCGCCGCCGUUCUUGAAUACCUCGCCGCCGAGGUACUUGAGCUUGCCGGGAACGCAGCACGAGAUAACAAGAAGACUCGGAUUGUGCCUCGACAUAUUCAGCUUGCUGUGAGGAACGACGAGGAGCUAAGCAAGCUACUUGGAGAUGUGACGAUUGCUAAUGGAGGAGUGAUGCCUAACAUCCACAAUCUCCUUCUCCCCAACAAGAAGGCCGGUUCCUCUAAGCCUACCGAUGAAGAAGAUUAGGAGAUCCUAUGUGACAAAGAAGGUAACGCUGGAAAAUGGUUUGAUGUGAGAGCGAACAAGUAGUAGAGGACGGUUACACAACAGCUGUGUGGAUCUAGUUGUAGUUGCAUAUGAUAUUUUGUUUCUGUUGUGUGAAUAUAUGAAGAACCUUUCUUCUCUUUGUUUCAGACUCUACAUGCUUUAGGGGUUCGUACUGUAAUAAUACUCCACUUUGUUGACUUAUUGCAGUGUCUUGAUGUUUAUCCUUUUAAGCACCAAA